rnacentral:rRNA from 1 species
GACGAACGCUGGCGGCGUGCCUAAUACAUGCAAGUCGAACGCACUCUCGUUAGAUUGAAGAAGCUUGCUUCUGAUUGAUAACAUUUGAGUGAGUGGCGGACGGGUGAGUAACACGUGGGUAACCUGCCCUAAAGUGGGGGAUAACAUUUGGAAACAGAUGCUAAUACCGCAUAAAACCUAGCACCGCAUGGUGCAAGGUUGAAAGAUGGUUUCGGCUAUCACUUUAGGAUGGACCCGCGGUGCAUUAGUUAGUUGGUGAGGUAAAGGCUCACCAAGACCGUGAUGCAUAGCCGACCUGAGAGGGUAAUCGGCCACACUGGGACUGAGACACGGCCCAGACUCCUACGGGAGGCAGCAGUAGGGAAUCUUCCACAAUGGACGAAAGUCUGAUGGAGCAACGCCGCGUGAGUGAAGAAGGUUUUCGGAUCGUAAAACUCUGUUGUUGGAGAAGAACGUAUUUGAUAGUAACUGAUCAGGUAGUGACGGUAUCCAACCAGAAAGCCACGG